rnacentral:lncRNA from 1 species
UUAAGAAAUAAUUCAUGGAAGCCAUAGAUUGUUUGAAAUUUACACAUGGCCUAGGCCGUGAUAUUCGAAUUUUAUCCUGAGCGUUCGAAUAUCACGGCCCAGGCCAUGUGUAAAUUUCAAACAAUCUAUGGCUUCCAUGAAUUAUUUCGAUUCUAAUAGGACAAAUACGGUCAUUAAAAUACUGAAGCGAGGGUUGGUUUGGUGUGUGUGUGGCUGAUCUUUUUUACUCCCUGUUAGAUAAAGCUCAAAUAUCUUAAUAAAUCCGUAGCUUGCAUGGGUUAUUUCGUGAAUAACCGCUAGAAAAAAAAAACUGUUUAAUUCUUCUUAUUCUCAAACCCAACAUUUCACAUUUUUGAUUUACAUGAUUUUCUUGUAAGCUUCCGUCAAAUCCAAAGUUGACAUUUCGUAACUAAGGAGCCGCCAUGUUGACUUGCUGAAAUUAGUAAAUAUGCAAAUAAUGCAAUAGAAUAGAAAUUAAAACAAAAACCUACAUCAAAAAUCAUUUUUAAUACAAUAUUAUACGAAUUUCGAUGGUUCACGUAACAGAAAACUUUCAACUUUAGCGGUUUCAUUUGUAUGACGUCAUAUUUUGAAAUUACUUAAAUCAGCG